ensembl:snoRNA
AAGACUAUACUUUCAGGGAUCAUUUCUAUAGUAUGUUACUAGAGAAGUUUCUCUGAUCGUGUAGAGUACCGGAAACCACGAGGAAGAGUUGAGUGGUCUCUUCUGAGCGUGAAGCUGGCUCUGGGUGUUGCUCUAUCGUGACUGUCCUUUGCCAUUGAUGAUCGUUCUUAAUUCUCUUUAGAGAUUAAGAGGGAGAGAACACAGUCUGAGUGGGU